rnacentral:rRNA from 1 species
AUACAGAGGGUGCAAGCGUUAAUCGGAAUUACUGGGCGUAAAGCGCGCGUAGGCGGUUUGUUAAGUUGGAUGUGAAAGCCCUGGGCUCAACCUGGGAACUGCAUUCAAAACUGGCGAACUAGAGUAUGGUAGAGGGUAGUGGAAUUCCUGGUGUAGCGGUGAAAUGCGUAGAUAUCAGGAGGAACAUCAGUGGCGAAGGCGACUACCUGGACCAAUACUGACGCUGAGGUGCGAAAGCGUGGGGAGCAAACAGGAUUAGAAACCCCAGUAGUCC